CGGCGGACGGGUGAGUAACGCGUGGGUAACCUGCCUCAUACAGGGGGAUAACAGUUGGAAACGGCUGCUAAUACCGCAUAAGCGCACAUACCGCAUGGUACGGUGUGAAAAACUCCGGUGGUAUGAGAUGGACCCGCGUCUGAUUAGGUAGUUGGUGGGGUAACGGCCUACCAAGCCGACGAUCAGUAGCCGACCUGAGAGGGUGACCGGCCACAUUGGGACUGAGACACGGCCCAA
rnacentral:rRNA from 1 species